UCUUUCCCUGUCGCUCACCCGCAUAACUCGUUCGCCGUCGGCCCGAGAGCUGGAGCACGGGAAGACGGGGCCGCCGCCCGGGGCUAACGGCAGACAUCGCUUGCGGCUCGGCGGCGCGUGCCUGUGUGUGUGCGCGCGCGCGCCGGGGGCGGCGCGCGGUUGGUUGCGUGGGCCGGGGGAGGCGAGGGCUGAGUGGUUGCCCCGCGCGGGUGGGGAGGCGGCGGGAGUGGGGCUCCAGCGCAGGCACCCGCCGCCCGGCUCGCUCCCCUGCGCCUCCAGCCCGCCCUGCGGAGGCGGUGAUGGGGAAGAGUUAGCGUUGUCGCCGUGCUCCAGCGGCCGGAGAGAUUGCUGGGCUGGGCCAGGCCGGCGGCGCGGCGUCCCCGCCGGAGCUGGUGCAGAGAGACCUGCCUGCCCUCUCGCCAGGAAGCGACUGACUGACUGACCGCGGCGGGGGGUGCGUGCCUGUGUGGUCCCGUCCCUCGCCGCCUCCCCCCGCUCCUCCCGCGGGCGGCUGCCGCUGCGGUGGUUACCGCCUCCCCCUGAAGAUGAAGAGGUGGCAGCUGCUGCUUCUGGGUCUGGCUGCUGGGGAGAAACCUGGAUAGAGGCUCUAAAAAAAAAAGGCGGGGGGAGGCGGGAGAAAGUCGCCACUCUCUGGGUCGCGGAGGGGGAGUUGGGCGUUUUUCUCACCUUGCUUUGGACAAAAGCACAGCGAAACUAGGGAAGCCGCUCCUCUGCGCCGAGGGGUGGGGGCAGCAUGCGUGGGGGGCCCCGGCACCGCCGCGGGCCGUGGGCGAGAGCCUGCGCCGCGGCGGCGUGCGACCGCCCGCGGCGGCCCUGAGGCGGGCAGCGAGGAUGCUGAAGGGAGGGAGAAGUCCCGGCAGAGAUCUCCCACCGGCGGCGAAGCCUCCCUCUCCUCUCCCCCCAACCUGCCUUCCGCACGGCCGCCCGCCCCGCGGGGCAGAGGCGCUGGGGAACAUGAGGCGGCGGCGGGGACCUGUUGUGUAGGGGGAGGCGGGGGUUAAGCGCGGCGGCGGCGCCGCACGGGGCGUGAGGCGGGGAAGCGGUUCGGUGGGGAGGGAGGAUGAGGACCUGCUCCCGAGGCGCUGGUGUCUGUCGGGGACCGGCCCUGCCUCGACCUGCCUCGGGCUCGGGAGAAUCCCCUUCGGUGGAGUCGUGACAGGGGAGAAGGGCCCGCGGGGAGCCCUGCGCCCCCAGGUCUGCGCGGAGCGGCGGCCGCUUCCCGCUGAAUUGCGGCUUCAGGAAGAAGAGAGCUUGAAGUGUUUCUCGGAAGCUGGAGUUGCUGGUUUCUUUCUUGCCUUUUUUUUUUUUCCCUAAUGAUUACGCGUGUCUCUUGAGGGAACGUUUUAGGAAUGGUCAUUUUUAGCAGUGAAAUCUGCGCAAAGGAUUAUAACAAAUCUCUAUGAAUGAUAGACUCGAUUGCUAAACCUUGCCUUGACCAACCUUCUGACCCUCGGAGAAAUCUCUCAGGGUGUGUGUGGGAAGGGGAAAAAAAAAAACAACCCACAACCCUCCCAUUUGAAAAUAAACUUGAAAAAAAAAAAGACUAAAAUUUUUUGGACAGCCUAACUGCUUUAUAAUGACUUUUUUGGGGGUCUUGUUUUGUGAUAAGUUGUUUUAAAAAGGGUUGUCCUACAUGGUGGUUUUGUAACUGGUGGAGGAAGGAUCCCUCUCAAGUGUUUCUGAUAUGACAGCUUUGGUUUCUGAAGAGUUAACUGGUGUUUGCAUGAUACACCUAUUGCUAGUCUGGUAGCAGACUUUUCAUCUUUUAUUUGCAUUUUUAUUGACUGGGGCUGGUGGAGAGGGUUAUCUUGGUCAGAAGAAUAUUUGCACACAUAUAUAUAUUGUAUAUAUUUUUGGUGGGGUUCUCCCCACAUUUUACUCUCUCUUGAUGACUCCUGGAGGUGGUAGUGGGCCCAUGAAAGACUGCGAAUACAGUCAGAUCAGCACACACAGCUCUUCGUCUCCCAUGGAGUCUCCCCAUAAGAAAAAGAAAUCAGCUCCCAAGAGAAAAUGGGAGGUUUUUCCUGGAAGAAACAAAUUCUUCUGCAAUGGGAGGAUCAUGAUGGCUCGACAGACUGGGGUCUUCUACCUGACUCUUGUUCUCAUCUUGGUCACCAGUGGACUCUUCUUUGCGUUUGAUUGUCCAUAUUUGUCAGAGAAGAUUACACCUGCUAUACCUGCAAUUGGUGGGAUUCUUUUCUUUUUCGUGAUGGGGACCCUGCUGCGUACUAGUUUCAGUGAUCCUGGUGUCCUCCCACGUGCAACACCAGACGAAGCAGCAGAUCUAGAGAGACAAAUAGGUAACACUGAAGAUAUUGCAAAUGGCUCCAGUUCAGGAGGAUACCGCCCCCCUCCCAGAACAAAAGAAGUGAUCAUCAAUGGACAGACAGUGAAACUAAAAUACUGUUUUACUUGCAAGAUUUUCCGCCCACCUCGUGCCUCACAUUGCAGCCUUUGUGAUAACUGCGUAGAACGGUUUGAUCACCACUGUCCCUGGGUAGGCAACUGUGUGGGGAAAAGAAACUACAGAUUUUUUUAUAUGUUUAUUUUAUCUCUGUCCUUUCUGACAGUCUUUAUAUUUGCAUUCGUUAUCACCCACGUCAUCCUUCGUUCUCAACAAACAGGAUUCCUCAAUGCCCUGAAGGACAGUCCUGCAAGUGUGCUGGAAGCUGUGGUGUGUUUUUUCUCAGUAUGGUCCAUUGUUGGCCUCUCAGGUUUUCACACAUAUUUGAUCAGCUCCAAUCAAACAACAAAUGAAGAUAUUAAAGGAUCAUGGUCAAAUAAAAGAGGUAAAGAGAACUAUAAUCCAUACAGUUAUGGCAACAUCUUUACUAAUUGCUGUGCUGCGCUCUGUGGGCCCCUCUCUCCAAGCUUAAUUGACAGAAGAGGAUUUAUACAACCAGAUACCCCACAAUUAGCAGGACCAUCAAAUGGCAUUACUAUGUACGGGGCCACACAAUCUCAGAGCAACAUGUGUGACCAAGAUCAGUGCAUUCAGAGCACUAAAUUCGUUUUGCAGGCUGCUGCCACCCCCCUACUACAGAGUGAGCCAAGCAUAACUAGUGAAGAGCUACCUUUGCCAGGAAAGACUACUAUCAGCGGGCCUUGUGCAACUCUAACUCUAGGGCAACCAACACCACCAUCUUCUAUGCCAAAUCUCACAUCAGAUACAGGUUUGACAGACAUGAUACCAUUAGAAGAGGAACACGAAGGUCAUCAGUUUCUCACUCCCGAAGAAGCUCCAUCACCCCCUGGGAUGCUGCCAAGUGGAAGUCCUAUUACACACAGCCAUACGAUGCAUGUCCUGAGUCUAGCCAGCCAGGAUUCAUUGCAUGAAGACUCAGUACGUGGUCUUGUGAAGCUUAGCUCAGUUUGAACAGCUUUUUUGAACGUUGCACUGUUUCUUGGUGACUAUACAAAUCUCUACUUAACAGGAAUGACACUGCAGUACCACUGUAAGACUUCAUAACAUGCCUAUAAUGGAAACUUUAUCGCGUAAUGGAGUCUACUAAAAAGACAAAUUAUUUUUUCAAUGGAGCUAUGGCAUUUUUUUGACCAGGUUGUUUAUGGUUGUGCUUUGAUGGUGACUGCAUUUUCCUUUUAAGCAAAACCAGGAAAGGUCAAUAAUCUUGUUUCCUGAAGCUUGGGUACAGCAAGUUGGAAGUCAGCCUGUAACAAACACCAUGUACAGUACAAAAGAGAGAUUCUUGGAUGUGUAAGUGUCAUGCUCUGUGUUCUAUGCUCUUGUAAUACACACUUGUUAAGGCUUACCACACUUGUGGCCAGAAUGAUCUGCACUUACAUGUUAUGCUACUAAUAUUUGAGAUAGAAAAUUACCAUUCCAUUUGUUAAUCAAAAAAAAAAAAAAAGACUGCAGAUAUGGAUUUGCAUGCCACGCUACAGUAUGUGUUACAGUGGUGUUGGUAUUAAGAGAAAGUGCUGCUUUUUUAUUUGUGACUUUCAAAGUGCUGUUUCAUUUAAAGACAGUGCAACAAACAAAUUAAUGGACUAUAUUAUUUUUUCAGUUUAUUAAAGUUUAUUUUAAAUUAAUCAGUGGUGCCUAGAAGAUGGAGAAUUACUGAUUUGAUCAUGUUGCAUAUCAUUUAACCUUCUGUUUAAGUGUUUAGAGUGAGGUAUUGUGUUGUGCCAUACCACGAGAUUCUUCCACUCCCUAAUGUGAUACAAUUACCUGUGGACCUCCAAUAAAAUGACAUCCUCUAUUUCUUGGACAUGUGUACAGUUAUCCUUGCAAAGUUUUCCUGGGGAAAGAGAGGGAAAUCAUGAUUUGUUGACAUAGUUUGUAAAGAUUUGACUGGAAUAUAUUUACAUAAUGAAACCAGAGCUAUGGAGGAAGAGCUGGUUACAAUUAGGAUUGCUUCAGCAUCUUUUAUGGUUUUGUUUGAGAUGUGUAUUUGUUCCCAUAAGAAAUCUUUAUUUGGAAACAGUAGAGUUAGCCUCUGCUUGAACUGUAAUUCUGUAUCCCUUAUCACAUGGCUAAAGGGCAAGGGGCUUAAGAUUCAAGACAAAGACAGACAGAUUAGUGAAGUCAUCUUACAUGGUUAACAAUAUACUGUAGCUGUCCCCAGCCAUCAUCCUUCCUUUGUAUUUGUCCUUUAAUAUUUUAAAUAUUUUAAAUUUUAAAUGAAAAUGUUGAUUUCAUAGAAUUCUUCUGUACUUUUUGUUUUUAAGUAAAGCACAAUGAAAAUGUUAAGGAGAUUUUUAUAACUGUUUUUCAUGAUAGCUGAAGAGAACCUUAGUUCAGCUGAGAAAGCUUAAAUAUUGUAUUUACUAUGCUUUUCAGGAUGUGGAAUCUGGAUUCUUCUUUUUUCAGGACAAGUUAAGUGCAGAAUGUGCUUUAUCUGAUGCUUCUGUGGCAUGAAAGUGUCCUCCAGUUAAGAAAUGUCACAGUUCUGUAUCGUUCACCAUGCUCAUUCACUGACACCAAGCUAAAAAUCUUGUUUUUACUUCCGUUGUUGAAGUUGAGAACAAUCAGCCUGCAGAAAAUCAGUCACCCAUGCUAUUGAAGCAUCAGACAAGAUACCGACAAAGUCCCAGAUUUCAUAAGCAAUCUGCUUCUGAUGAUGUUAGCUUUGACCUAAUUUAGCGUGUAGAACAUAGCAACGCUUUCUGUCUGUAACUGCUGUAACAGGCCUGCCAACCUCUGGCGGGCAAGUCUGUCCCAGCUAUUGGAGCCACCCUCCCAGCAUUUUCCUGAAGCUGGGACUGUCUCGAGUUCUUUCCACCAGCCAGACUGUAGUGACUGACAUGUACCAGUUGGCCGGUCUCCCAAUAAGCCCCAAGUAUCAGCACUUAUUUCUGUGUCUGCUCUUGAAGAAGAGCCAGUGAUGCUCAUCUUGAUUUCAUCUUUCCCUGAUGUGGCUUCUCAUGUAUGAAGCCAUGAACAUCUGCAUUAAAGCAGGUAACGGAUUGAGGGCUGGAGAUAUUGGUCUCAUAGACCUGGGUAAAGAAUCCUGGCUUUGAGUAUGUAGACCAGUCUUGACUGAAUCAUUAUCUCAUAGGUGCCUGGGGGUAGUUAACUGUGGAUGCAUUACUCACUACAUAGGACAAGUCAAAUAUUUUUAAUGUGGUAUCAAAACUUUCCACUUGUAGCAGUAAUGAUGAGGAUCACCAUUUUAAGGAAAUUGUUCUCUUUAAGUCUCCCUGAAAUACUCGAGGGAUUUUACGCUUCCAAGAAUACUGACUUCGUGACAACAUUUGUAUGUCAUUGCCACUAGGGAGUAGUACAGAAAGCUGCUCUUCAGCUCUCUGCACACAAUAAAAUUAGUGUCAGUUUUAACAUGGAACAGAAGGGAGAAGGACAGGAUUAGAGUCUUUAUGCUGUUUUCCUUGUGCUGAUGCUUUUCACCAUCAUUUUUUGAACCUUUUGUUUAUGAGUGAGGAGUAAGAAUUACCUAACAAAUUGGAAACAGAUGUGGUAGUUAUUUACUUGUUCAGGUGACUUUUUUCUUUUAGUUUUUAAGAUGACAGCCUUAUUUUUUUUAACAUCCUGCCUAUGUUUUGAAGUUUGGCAUUUGAGAAUAAGUGGAAUACUUUGUAUUUGUUUAUCUAUAUAUUUAUAUCGCCCUUAUUUUAAGUGUGUUUUCCUUCCCAUCUGUCUUUUUGAAAUGGUGACACCUCCAACCGCCCUGACACGACUGCCUUGUGAGGACAUCUGCUGGAAGAUUUCGGAACUAAGUCUAUUAACCCAUAUGGUGUGGUACUUGCAGGCUUUAAUUGUCAGCAGGCAGUGAUUUAGCAGCAGGUUGAUCGAAGAGAUGGCUCUAGAAGGGUUUCUGGUCCAUUCCUCUCACCUCCAUCACAGCUGUCUUCAAUCGUGGGCGCUCCCUUCGUUGGAACUUGGAUAUCCAUCUGGAAUGAGUCAGCAAAUGGUACCCUGAAGAUGAACAUGGUUUGCUUGGCCUUGGGCCCGCCUAACUCUACAUUUUAAAAAUCAGUUGCUGCCCAAGUGAUUUUUGUUUUAAGGGCCAAAAUGAAAUAAGGUAGUAUACUUCAACACACUUUCAAAUAUUCUAAGGCCCAAAAUAUGAAUGGAAUGUGUUGUAGACAGCUGCAUAUAGAUUUAGUUCAUUUAAACUGGAACUGUCCUAGUUUUCAGGAUCUAUCUGGGUCAGGGCUUCCUGGUUUUGAUUGCCUGCCUGCCCGCAAAGACAUUGCAAUUUCACAUCUGGCUGAGUGUACUGCCUGGACUUCCAAAAGACUGUUGGGAUUAAGUGAGCUAUUUAAACCUGUGCAAAUCUAGAUUAAUUCUGAGCUGAUGCAGCAAUUCAGUUCCAUCGCCAGGAAGCAACUGUCUCUUAACAUUCAACUACAGAAUUUCAGCAUUCACCACAAACAGUGUAGGGUGGGGAAUAGAACAACUUUUGGAUGUUAUGAACAGAUAAAAUAGAAGUUUGUUUCUAAGAUAGGUCAGAGAGGACAGGAAUAAGAUGAUGAAAGGGAGAAGACUGUGAGUGAAAGCAGAACAGAGAAGAUUAGCAGGUGACAUGGAGGAAAAGAGGAAUUAACCUGUAAGCUGUAGGAGGAGCGGGAGGGGGAAUAAACAAAAAAGCCACACAGGGGGAAAAAAAGGACAGCUGUCAAUAUUAAUCAAACAAGACAAAAAAAUAAUAAUCAAUUGCUCAUUGGUAUUUAAACAUUUUUGUGAGAAAUUUCUUAAAAAUCAUUCUGGGAAAAAAAUUAAGAGAAAUAAGGUCAGACUUUUGAGAGAAAGCAACUGUAGGAAAAUGAUGAGAAAAAUGCGAGGAGUUGAUCUGCCUUCAAACUCCUCUCCCUUAAUACCUUUUCCUACUUUUGUUUUGAAAAUACAUUUGUAAUACAAAAACAGGUUAAAUCUUGGUCUCUUUGAAGUUGAUGGGAAGCUUAAGACAUUGACCAUGUCUGAAAAUGGUAAUUGCUUUAGCAUUUUGCAUUUCCGUACUGAUAAUUGAUUUAGCAUUCUGUAUUUCCAUACCAGAAGUGCCAUUGCACUGGGAAAAUGAAUGGUGUAGUAUGGUUCUGUGUUUCUUGGUGAUCCCUUCACUAAAUUUGCUCACCUUUAAGUAAAAGUGUUUUCCUAAGUAGUAGUCUCGCCAAUUGGGCGCGAAACCUGGAAUUCAGUCAGAGUUUCUGUGAGUAGUGUGCAAAUAGGAAUGAAGACUACAGGCUAGAUAAACUUCGUGGUUUACAAACCAAAAAGAUCUGUCCCACAGAGAUAUACUUUGCAGUAUAUACUGAAGUCAGUUCCACUGGUAACAAAACAUUAAUGCCAGCGUUGCUGUGUUGGGUUUGCGUGGCAAGGUUUUGGUAGCGGGGGGGCUACAGGGGUGGCUUCUGUGAGAAGCUGCUAGAAGCUCCCCCUGUGUCUGAUAGAGCCAAUGCCAGCCGGCUCUAAGAUGGGCCUGCCGCUGGCCAAGGCCAAGCCAGUCAGCGCCUCUGUGAUAACAUAUUUAAGAAGGAA